GUAUGGCAAUUAUACGGCGAAACUGCGAAUGGCUCAUUAUAUAAGUUAUCGUUUAUUUGAUAGCACUUUACUACUUGGAUAACCGUGGUAAUUCUAGAGCUAAUACAUGCUAAAAAUCCCGACUUCGGAAGGGAUGUAUUUAUUAGAUUAAAAGCCAAUGCCCUCUGGGCUCUCUGGUGAAUCAUGAUAACUGCUCGAAUCGCAGGGCCUCGUGCCGGCGAUGGUUCAUUCAAAUUUCUUCCCUAUCAACUUUCGAUGUUUGGGUAUUGGCCAAACAUGGUUACAACGGGUAACGGAGGGUUAGGGCUCGACCCCGGAGAAGGAGCCUGAGAAACGGCUACUACAUCCAAGGAAGGCAGCAGGCGCGCAAAUUACCCAAUCCCGACACGGGGAGGUAGUGACAAUAAAUACUGAUACAGGGCUCUUUCGGGUCUUGUAAUUGGAAUGAGUACAAUUUAAAUCCCUUAACAAGGAACAAUUGGAGGGCAAGUCUGGUGCCAGCAGCCGCGGUAAUUCCAGCUCCAAUAGCGUAUAUUAAAGUUGUUGUGGUUAAAAAGCUCGUAGUUGACCCUUGGGCCUGGCUGGCCGGUCCGCCUCACCGCGUGUACUGGUCCGGCCGGGCCUUUCCCUCUGUGGAACCCCAUGCCCUUCACUGGGCGUGGCGGGGAAACAGGACUUUUACUUUGAAAAAAUUAGAGUGCUCCAGGCAGGCCUAUGCUCGAAUACAUUAGCAUGGAAUAAUAGAAUAGGACGUGCGGUUCUAUUUUGUUGGUUUCUAGGACCGCCGUAAUGAUUAAUAGGGACAGUCGGGGGCAUCAGUAUUCAAUUGUCAGAGGUGAAAUUCUUGGAUCUAUUGAAGACUAACUACUGCGAAAGCAUUUGCCAAGGAUGUUUUCAUUAAUCAAGAACGAAAGUUACGGGAUCGAAGACGAUCAGAUACCGUCGUAGUCCUGACCGUAAACUAUGCCGACUAGGGAUCGGACGAUGUUAUUUUUUGACUCGUUCGGCACCUUACGAGAAAUCAAAGUGCUGG
rnacentral:rRNA from 2 species